rnacentral:rRNA from 1 species
CUACGGGAUGCUGCAGUUAGGAAUAAUCUACAAUGCGCGCAAGCGUGAUAGUUUGAAUCAGAGUGCGUUCCAAUUCGGAAUGCUUUUGUCGAAUCUAAAAAGUUCGACGAAUAAGGACUGGGUAAGACGAGUGCCAGCCGCCGCGGUAAUACUCGCGGUCCAAGUCGCAGCCAUUUUUAUUGGGUCUAAAACAUCCGUAGCUUGCUUUUUAAGUUCCUUGUGAAAUCCGGCAUCUAAAGUGUUGGGCGUGCAAGGAGUACUAUUGAGCUAGGAGACUGGAAGACGUAAGAAGUACGUUCGAAGUAGCGGUUAAAUGUGUUGAUCUCGAGCGGACUCACAAUAGCGAAGGCAUCUUACGAGGACAGUUCUGACAGUAAGGGAUGAAAGCUAGGGGCGCAAAACGGAUUAGAUACCCGGGUAGUC